GUUUUUUGACUCAUGCCGGAUGGAGUUCAAUAGUUGAAGCAAUACAAUUCGAGAAACCAUUGCUUCUGUUGACAUUUUUGGCUGAUCAAGGAAUAAAUGCUAGGCUCUUGGAGGAAAAGAAGGUAGCAUAUCUGAUACCGAGAAAUGAUUGGGACGGAUCAUUCACUCAUAAAGCGGUGGUUGAGUCACUAUAUUUGGUACUCCUUGAAAAAGAGGGUGAAAUUUAUCAAAAAAAGAUCAAAGAGGUUAAGAAUCUUUGCUGUGACAAGAAAAGACAAGAUGAUUAUGUGGAAAAUUUGAUAAGGUUUCUUCAAAAUUAUAAAAAGAUAAAAGUAUAAAAUAGGAAGUAACAUUUACAUUUGCAUGCACUUUUUGGAGAAUUGUGAUUUCAUGAAUAAAGAUGUUUUAUUUUUCUUUUUAUGUACUAUAACAAAAUGUAUUGUAAAGGC
rnacentral:misc_RNA from 1 species